rnacentral:rRNA from 1 species
AUGAACGCUGGCGGCGUGCCUAAUCCCUGCCAGUCGCGCGAACAGACGAGGAGCUUGCUCCUCUGACGUUAGCGGCGGACGGGUGAGUAACACGUGGAUAACCUACCUAUAAGACUGGGAUAACUUCGGGAAACCGGAGCUAAUACCGGAUAAUAUAUUGAACCGCAUGGUUCAAUAGUGAAAGACGGUUUUGCUGUCACUUAUAGAUGGAUCCGCGCCGCAUUAGCUAGUUGGUAAGGUAACGGCUUACCAAGGCGACGAUGCGUAGCCGACCUGAGAGGGUGAUCGGCCACCCUGGAACUGAGACACGGUCCAGACUCCUACGGGAGGCAGCAGUAGGGAAUCUUCCGCAAUGGGCGAAAGCUUGACGGAGCAACGCCGCGUGAGUGAUGAAGGUCUUCGGAUCGUAAAACUCUGUUAUUAGGGAAGAACAAAUGUGUAAGUAACUAUGCACGUCUUGACGGUACCUAAUCAGAAAGCCACGGCUAACUACGUG